rnacentral:misc_RNA from 1 species
CAGAUAGCAAGAGGAAAGGAACUGAAUCGCAUUGCAGGAAUGGACAAGACCUGUGAUUUUGUGAAGGCCGACUUCAUGAAAAUGCCAUUUCCUGACUGUAGUUUUGAUGCAGUAUAUGCAAUUGAAGCUACUUGCCAUGCGCCAGAUGCAUAUGGAUGCUACAGUGAGAUUUACAGAGUAUUGAAGCCCGGACAAUUUUUUGCUGCUUAUGAAUGGUGCAUGACUGAUUCUUUUGAUCCCAAUAACCAAGAACAUCAGAAAAUUAAGGCAGAAAUUGAGAUUGGAGAUGGCCUUCCAGACAUUAGAUUAACUGGGCAAUGCAUUGAAGCUCUCAAAAA